rnacentral:misc_RNA from 1 species
UCCUCAUUAAAAUGAGGCAGUCUGUCCAGAGUGCUCCCGGCUCUCGCCGGGGUGGCAACAGGACACAAGGGUUGCGCUCGUUGCGGGACUUAACCCAACAUCUCACGACACGAGCUGACGACAGCCAUGCAGCACCUGUGCACGCUGGUAUUGCUACCUCGUUCCGCUUUCACGGUCCUACUACAUGCAUGUCAAGGCCAGGUAAGGUUCUUCGCGUUGCAUCGAAUUAAGCCACAUACUCCACCGCUUGUGCAGGCCCCCGUCAAUUUCUUUGAGUUUUAAUCUUGCGACCGUACUUCCCAGGCGGUGUGCUUAUCGCGUUGGCUACGCCACAAAAGGGGUCGAUUCCUCUUACAGCAAGCACACACCGUUUACAGCUAGGACUAC